UACGUAGGGUGCGAGCGUUGUCCGGAAUUAUUGGGCGUAAAGAGCUCGUAGGCGGUGUGUCACGUCGGCCGUGAAAACCUGCAGCUUAACUGUGGGCGUGCGGUCGAUACGGGCAUCACUGGAGUUCGGCAGGGGAGACUGGAAUUCCUGGUGUAGCGGUGAAAUGCGCAGAUAUCAGGAGGAACACCGGUGGCGAAGGCGGGUCUCUGGGCCAAUACUGACGCUGAGGAGCGAAAGCGUGGGGAGCAAACAGG
rnacentral:rRNA from 1 species